UAUAUGCUGUAGGAGAGCUAGUUGUUAUCAAGAUACCCAGUCAAAGUAAUGACGGUCAGAGUACAAAAUUACUUCCUAUUUACAAGGGACCAUUCCAAGUUGUAGAGGUACUAGGUCACGACCGGUAUAAAGUGGCAGACAUGCGAGGCGCUGAGAGGACCGCAAGGCGAUACGAGGGCAUCACGUGUGCCGAGAAUAUGAAGCCCUGGGUUCGUAUCGCUGACGCACAGGUCGACGAGGGAGCCCCGGAUGUGUAAACCGGAUGUUGUCAGCAUAUGCAUCAGACUUGAACGCAUUCGGGGACGUAAUGCGUACGUAGGACGGCCGGAUGUUGUCGCCGCGAGAUGGCAGCACUUGGUGACGCCGGCUGACGUCACAUCCGAGCGAGCAGAGUGGGGCCGACGGGUUCUCACGCCACCGAGUUGCGGUCGAAGGGAGAAGACCGGCGCGCCUCACUUUUGUACUUGACUUCGAGCGAGAAUGUUGUCUUGAUAAUUAUUGACAUGAAUUGUACUUUUGUUGGUUCGAGUUAAUUAUAUUGAUUAUAUAUUUCGA